AAGGGUAUAGCUCAGUGGUAGAGCUCAUACCUAAUAUGCAAGAGGUCCUGGGUUCAAUCCCCGGUACCUUCA